rnacentral:rRNA from 1 species
UGGGGAAUUUUGGACAAUGGGGGAAACCCUGAUCCAGCAACGCCGCGUGAAUGAAGAAGGCCUUCGGGUUGUAAAGUUCUUUUAUCUGGGAGCAAAAGGUCUAUGCUAAUACCGUAGAUCCAUGAGAGUACCAGAAGAAUAAGCACCGGCUAACUACGUGCCAGCAGCCGCGGUAAUACGUAGGGUGCGAGCGUUAAUCGGAAUUACUGGGCGUAAAGGGUGCGCAGGCGGAUAAGUAAGUUAGAUGUGAAAGCCCCGAGCUUAACUUGGGAAUUGCAUUUAAUACUACUCAUCUAGAGUUUGUCAGAGGGGGGUGGAAUUCCACGUGUAGCAGUGAAAUGCGUAGAUAUGCGGAGGAACACCGAAGGCGAAGGCAGCCCCCUGGGAUAAAACUGACGCUCAGGCACGAAAGCGUGGGUAGCAAACAGG